rnacentral:snRNA from 1 species
AUCGCUUCUCGGCCUUUUGGCUAAGAUCAAGUAUAGUAAUUAAUCUGUCCUUGGCUAUUUUAACAAAAAGCCUGUAUGAUUCUCCUAAGGAUAGAUAUGGGUUCAUAUAAUGCUUGGGUUUAACAUUUUCAGAAAUGUGGGGAAAAAAUCGUUAUUAUUUUU